GUUUAUCUUGCAUGCAGUGCAUGUUGACAACGAUUAUAUAAGCCGUGUGCCUAUCGAUACGAAUUCUCGCCGACGUCGCUGUGUCCCACUUUAUCACACCGGCUGUCCUAUCACCUGAGGGUCAGACUGUAAACAUCACUCCCCCGAGGGCAAUGUUCGUGCGCUGGAACUUUGUAUCGUAAGCCUUCGACUGACAUCGCUACAAAAAUGGCUCUGGCAGAAAUCGAGAACUCAGUCGCUGGGGUCUGGGUACUGCAGAAGAAUGAGAAUCUGGACGAAUACUUGAAAGAAAUAGGAGUGAAUUUCGUCCUGCGGAAAUUGGCGGCGGCCGCUAGUAGCACCAUGACAAUCUCCGUGGAGGAUGGACAAGUCCGCAUCAACACAAAGGGACCCAAAGACUCGGACCACAAAUUUCACCUGGACACGGAGGUGGAGUCCAACGACCCCCAGGAUAACCCCAUGAAGGUAACUAUGGACAGGGGUGGAAACCAGGAGGGAGUAAAUCAGGGGAAGAACAAAACUAGAUAAUGGACCUCUUUAUUAUUUUUAAAAUUUUACUUAUGAAUCAGAGUUCAAGAUUAGAAUGCAUGAACACAAAGUCCUAGAUAAGAAUGAACAACAAUAGACAGAACAAAUUCUUGAUAUCCAUUAUCCAUUGCCAUCAUAGGAAUGUGUGGGAUUUUACUUUUUACUGUCAGUACUGUGUUUUCAACGUUGGAUAAAGAUCCCGUAAGGUUCCCAAGAUGAUCUUACAGUUGUUUACUACUCAAGGGACUGAAUCCUGACAGUAACACCCUCAGAUUUAUUAGCUCUCUCUUCCAAAUUAAAGGGUUCUUGAUAAUCAUAAAAUAAUUCUUAUAAGCUGUAAAGUGGAGAAGCCAGGAGUUAGAGAUUUAUGGGCAGGGGUCAAGAGGUCAAUCAAGAGGACAGCUAAUGAUUUAUCAAACUGUCAGUAAAAUAUGACAUGAGCUGUAAAUCUUAACUAAAAAGUUUUGUGAAUUAUUAAGAAUUUGAUCAUUUCUUGUAUUUGAUAAGACAUUUAAUUGUCCAUUGCUAGUGUGCUCAGUGGUGUGUAGGUAAGACUAGAAGCUGGAGGUAACACUCUCUAUUCUGUCGCUGUUUCUCCUGCUGUGAUCCAUAGUUAGUAUUCUCCUUGUGUAUCACCAUGAUCAGAAAGUGAUGAAAGAACUUCAUAUAUUCCCAUUCAUUAACUGUAUUGUAAGUACACUCAAGCAAUCUCAAGUGGAAUCAUUUCCUUUUUGCAUUACUUCUGUUACCCUGCAGCUGUCGUGAUUAUACAUGUACUUGUUUUAAAUUGUCUUUUCUAAGGCGGUAGUGAAAUGGACCGACGGAAAACUUGUUACUCAUUCCAAACCAACAGAAGGGUCAAAGGCCAAAGAGACGAAGGUGGUUCGUGAGGUGCUGGACGGCCAGCUCAUCAUGACUAUCUACGUGAACAAUGUUGUAUGCCGUAGAAUCUUUAAGAAGAAGUGAGCACCCACAUUUCACAAAGUCCCUCAGACAUCAGUAUUAUACAUGUAUAUAUGUUUAGUGACUGGCAUUGUCUCGUAUAUCAACAUGCUCUCUGUUCAGAGCUAGUGGACAUUUGCCAUAUAGAACUUCUAAGCAAUCGACUCCUUCGUUGUAUUCUGAAUGGAGAGAAUAAUAUUUUAUUUGCUCAUUGUACAUGUAUCUUGCAUUUAGAAUUUCAUUAAAUAAUGGCCUAUGAUUAACUUUAUCAGAGAUCAUGGUCAAUGAAAUUUAACUGUUUGUUUUUUGUAUUGCGGCAGUUCUUGUCUUUAAGAAUUAUCCAUUUUGGUUGACUUUUAGAUUUAGAACUUAGAAUAACUGCAUUUCAUUAGAAUAUUAAAUAUGCAGCCCUUAAUGGAU
rnacentral:misc_RNA from 1 species